rnacentral:lncRNA from 1 species
UGGCAUAUAAAGAAUAUAUUGAAAAUACUCUAUUUCUUCAGUAUUUAAAUCAUCAAAUAAGACUAGAUUAACUAUUAACCUCAAAUAACCAAACAAGUCAAUUUCUUGAGAAAGCACAUUGAAAGAAAAAACCUUGCCGCGCCAUACAUAUUAAAAACUGCAAAAGAAAAAAAAAAUUAAGAGAUGGCCCUCGUGCGGAAUGAGGAUCGUUUCUUUAAUAGCAACCAAUAAUGUAUCUCAACAGAUUCUAAAACUCAAGGAACCAAAAGUAAAUU